rnacentral:lncRNA from 1 species
UUAGUCUUGAAAGAGUAGAUUCCCAAGCUUCGCCUUCUAGACUUCUCCUUUGCUUCCAAAACCAAUAAUUAUUGAGUAUAGAAAAUUAUGUGUUUUGUACAAAAAAAUGUACUAAGUAUGACAAAUGCAAAAACAUACAAAAAGGGACAUUUUAGUAAAAGUAUAAUUUCAUGCCAAUUAAGUAAAACAUUCAUAAAUAUAGAAGUCAAAUAAUAUAUAGAUCAUCAUUUAACACUUACAAAAGGAUCUCCACAAUUCUAGCAAAAAGAACCAUUUUACGGCGAAGUACCCAAAAGUUAUAGUAAACCCUUGGAACAUUACAAUGAACUAUUUUAAUCCCAAAUCACUGAACUUUCAAAAACAAGCAAAGAGGAAGUGAACUCAUUUCUGUAGAAGUUUCCUUAGCUAAGGUUAACCAAAGACUCACCAAGGUAGGACAUGAAGGAAAAUCCCAUACACCUUCUUCAGUACACACCUAGGUGAUCCUGUAGAUUACCCCUUCUAAGAUUACUCGCCACAGAGAAUAAGUCCCCAUUCAAUGACAAGACAUAUAAUAACACUCAAACAACACACUAAGACUUCCCUUUGAAAAUAACUUCUUAGUGCAAUGAGUAUUUGGCAUCCCAUUACACCAUCUACCCUAAGUUGUAAACUCUUUAGAAGAGUUAGCUCAUUCAAUUCUUAUAGGAUACACCAAGACUCCCUUUCGAAAGGUCUACCGAGUGCAAUGGAUAGAUAGUGUCAUAUACCAUCACCUACCCUAAGCAUUACGUUCUUUUAGGAGACAUAGUUCAUACACUUCCAAUAAAACACACCAAGAUUCCCCUUUAAGAAGGUUUACUUAGUGCAAUGUAUAGAUGGCAUUCUAUUCCAAAUACCUAACCUAAGUAAUAUGUUAUUUUAUGAAACUUAAUUCAUUCAAUUUUUUGUGGGGGGUAUCUUAACUGACAUAGAUCAUGAGAGACAGACAUGGAAUCCCGAUACUACCCUUAUCGGAUGAGGGAUCCUCACUUUCCUAGGUUAGGGUCAUUUUGCUUAGCUUUUACAUGGCUUUACCAAUAGCUACACCUAUGCGGGCACAUAGUUAAGGUAUAAGGAUAUUGCUACUGAGUAACUCAUUUUCUACUACCGAGGAGUACUCUUCUCAAGAGAUACGUUGGAAUACAAAAUCUCAACUCAUGAAAUGUAACAAAUCCUUCUUCAUAUCCUCUCGAUUCUAGGCAUAACUCCCCACGGAUUCUCAGCAUUAUAAAUAUAGGUAAAGGAUAGCUAGUGGACGCCACACCUCAACUCACGAAGGGUGUCCAUCCUCCUACCUAUCUUAGAAAGCUCUUGAAAAAUAAUGAGGUUGUUACUAAAUAGUUCAUCUCAUCUCACGAAGAGUAUUCACCCCUAAAACUCCCUUUUUCAUUGACAUUAUUCUACUUCAUUCAUUCAUUCAUUAAGAGUCUGUGUAUGUGUGUGUAUGUGUGAGCACACCUUUCAUAGUAGCAUUAUUUCAUUUACAUUCUAUUAUAUGCCUUCUUAGACCUUCAUUCAUCACAUUACACACUUUAACAUGCUCCACUUUUUAAUAUAAUUCAUUAAAAUAUAUUGUCUAUAAUACUUAUCGUAAUAAACUACAUAAGUCACAUUAACAGGAAUAACAUCAUGUCAUCUUACUUCACAUAAUAUGUCUUCAAGGUCACUUUCACAACACACGUGUAACUUUACUUUAAUAUACUACUUAUAAAACAAUGUUUAGCGAUAAAUACAAUGUGUCACUUCUUAAUGAAUAUCCAUCACUAAUCAUGGUUAGUGAUGGAUUAAAGACGGAUUCUUGAAUGUUGCUAUAACGCUAGUUACUAAUCUGUUAGAAAAGAAAACUGAGUUCUGUCACAAGUUUAGCGACAUCUUAGUGACGAAACAUUCCCAACGAAACAUGUUAGCGACGAACUUUGUCGUAUUAUAUUUAUAUUAUUACAUUGCUAAUUUCAUAGUUGGGCUGGGCGUCUAUGUCACAGAACCUUUCUCUAGCCAAGAAUCCCAUUAUUGAUCAAAUCGAGCGGAUCCAAUUCAUUGGCAAAUGAAAAAUCUAUCGUUUUAACACUCAUAAUUAGACAAAAAAUGAGUUCCGUCACAAGUUUAGCGAUGUUAAAGUAACGAAAUAUUUGUGUUGCCACAUGUUAGCAACUGGACUGAUUUUUCAUUAUAUUUAUAUAGUUUUGUUGCUGAUUUUUUAAUUCAUUUCAUCAUUUUGGAUAAAGUUGUGAUGAAAUUUCCAUCAAAACAUACAACAUAUUAGGACUUCAAUAAUUCGCCACUGAUCUGUCCUAACAUUCUUUUCAUAGCAAUGAUCAAACAUUCAUCUAAUAUAGUAUUCAUAGACAAUUCAUCAUAUAUAAAUAGAGAACAUCAAAACAACAUAUUUUUGGUUAAAUAUAUGCAAAGAAAUAAAUAAAGUAUUCUUUAAGGAACCUACGUUCAUCAAAAUAUUACUACGCAAUUCGUUCUAAAAAGUAUGACAUUAUCAAAAACUAAAGUUGUGGGAGAAUAAGGGCUACUAUUCUCACUUGAAAUUGAGGUAUCAACCUCGUCCACAUUAGUAGAGCAUGAACUAUGGGUUUCACAAUUGAUGGAUUAUCGAAUUGAGUAAUUGAUGUUUGCACCUGCUCAAAAAUAAUAGAAACAAGAUUACUAGUUAGUGCAUACAUCAAUUUCUUUAGAAACUCGUCCAUAUUUUCUAUCGAUUAUGACUGAUAAAAUGGAGGUGGUAAUGAUGAUGAGACACAAAGAUUCUGCCCUAAUAAUGUUUUUCUUCAUGUCCAAGACCGUAUAUUCUUGUUUUCUUCUCUCCCCACAAUUUGGUAAUAUGUUUCACAUUGAUCAAUAUCAGUCUCAUAAAUUGUUUUUUCUAUAAUAUUUCUUCAUAUUUAUCCUAUAAUAACUAGAGAAAAUGAGAAAGAAUUAAGCAUAGGUAACAAUUUUUUUUAUAGGAAAAUGAAGAAAAAUAAACAAGCUUUUAAGCUUAAAAGACAUGUCUAUGGUUUUCCUAGAAAAGAAUUGUGUAGUUGCAGCAAAAUAGGCUAUUUUAUACCAUGUGCAUAUAAUACUCUAGUGCCUAGUAUUAGUUGAUAAUUGCUGCAAGUAAAAUGCAAUGAAAUAGGGACAGUGCAACUCAUAUUAGGGUGUCCAUGAAGUGUUGUCUAUAAGUUGUAAUAAUGAGCUGAGAUAAACAAUUUUGAACUCGUUUGAAUUGUAGAAUAAAGAUCAUACUUAAACUCACAAAUUUCUAGAAUAGAUAAACCUAAAAUAAACUGAUUUAUAUUACCUAUCAACACCACAAAAACUAAAAAUUAGCCAACCAACACCCAAAAUUACCUGAAAACAACUGCAAUAGAUUCACACUACUAUGACAUAAGAAUUGCAACAUGUAAGAUCCCAAAAAUGACUUAGGUUAACUUGAUACUAACAUCAUUUUCAUGAUGGUAUAAGUUCCUAAAUUUCUCUAUAAUGUCGUAUUGUGGCAUUUGCAAAAAUUUUAGUUGCAUUGGAUGUAAAACGUCAAUGGAGGACUAAGACGUUGGACGACUUCGAUGAAUACGUCACCUAUGUUCAUCAUAUGUGCUUUGAUGUGUUUAUGUGUGGUUCAUGAGGUUGUAAGAUAAUUAUAUGAGUUAUUAUAGUAUAUAUAUACAUUGUGUAAAGUUUCGUGAAGUUUUAAGGUCAAACAUCAAAGAACGUCCAUGACAUUCGAAACUUUUGCCUUGAAAUGACCUUGUGUGCCUAGGCAUGUUUCGUCGAGUUUUACGUGUUCGUUUUUGAUGAAAUUCAUGUGAGAGGUAAUAAAAUUUUAUAAGAUCAUUUUUGGGUUGGAAAAAUCCGAGUAAACAUCCCCAAGGACCAUCCAAGGUUCCUUGAAGAAUGAACCAAGUUGGAGACCAAGAUUGCCCAAGACAAGCUACCAACAGAUGGCAAUCGACGCCUAGUGGGUCAGUUGACGCCCUGUUGGUGGUGUCUCAUCGAUUAGUAAUUAGUAAUGGGAGAGUAAAGACCGAAGUUGAGUCUUUGUACCAAAUGAUGGAAUGCCAGGACGGUCCGUUUAUGGACAAACAGUCCGUCGACUGCCAACAGUUGAUGGCACUGUCUCUGCGUGCAGCAUCACCAUUAUGUGAAAGGUAAAGUUGUAAAUUCACCCCAGUUAAAAAAAAGAGUAUUCGAGGUUCUUUAAGGUUCUUUUGGAUAUUUUAAAUAUGAUUAUAAGCCUAAAAAACUUAUAAGAUUUCAUUCUUUAAAAAUCAAAACCCAAAUCCGUUGGAAAUUUCUCUAGAACUCCAUUGGAACUUAAACUCAAGGUAGGGCUUGGAUUGGAGAAUUCAGAGGAGAUUAUUCAUCAAAUUGAAAAAUUAUAUUCAUUGAGGUAUGAUUUUUUUAUCCUUUAAACUCUCUUCAUCAAGGAGCCCAACUUCAAAAGUUGUUUUCUAAAGUUUUCAAAAUUGAAUUGUCCAAUUUUGUAAUUUAUCCGUAGGUUCUUUCAUUAGAGGGUUUUCAGCAUUGAAUAUUUAUUGAAUUAUCAUUAAUUUGAUGAAUUUAACUCAAUUAACUUAUGAAGCCAUGAAUUUGAUGAACCCUAGUUUUUGACUAAGCUAUGGGUUAAGUAAUGUUGACCUAAUUUUUAUGAAUUCUAGUGUAGUUUGCUAUGUGCUAUUGAUUGAUGUAAUAAUUGUAUUAAAUUGAUAUCUAGGUUGUCUUAUAUUGAUGAACAUAUAGUUCAUUGACCUAGUUUCAUGAAUAUUAUUAUAAUUAUAUUGAAUUGUUCGUUAUAAUCAUGGUAAGGUCCUUGUGGUAUUGAUUUGGAUGGUUUUGCAUAGAAUUGAGGUGAUAAGGAUGGGGUGGUGUUAAUCUUCCCUAUUUCCCUUUUUUUUAUGAUUAUUAGAAUUCAAUUAUGUUUUUAUUAGUAUGGUACACUUAUGGUGGUGGUGUUAUCUGCUUUACUUGUAGUUGAUGUGGCCUUGUUGUCAUUAUUUUAAGUAAUAUGAUUAUUAUGGCCUUGUCGGCAACCACUUAAAUUAAUGAGAUUAUUUGUAACUGAUUGUGUGAAGUACGAUAAAAAAAUCUUACAUGAUAAGUAAUAUGAAAGUAUAUGUGUUCUUCUAUUAAUGUUCUUUAGGUGAUCAUAUAAGACUAUGAAUAUGGCUUUAUGUGUAUAGUCUUAGGGUUGAUGCAUAUUAUUCCUACUUGACUAUAUGAAUCUCCGAUAGUCAUAUUGAUUAUGUUAUGACAGUGUAUAGGAUGACUUAAAGAUUAUAAGGGUUACUUAUAUGUGCUUCUAGAAUGACAUGUAUUAUGUGUUAAAGUAAAAUAUUGUGUGUCUUGCCUUGGUUGACUUAUAUCCCUUAAUUGAUGCAUGUAUGAAUGUGAAUAUGAAAUGUCUUUACUUAGGAUGCUAAAGCUCUUAGUAUUUAUUGCAUGAAUUACAUGAGAUCUUAAAUGAUGUUAAAAGGGUCCUUCAUGUGAAACCUUGAAACUAGCGGUAAGGUUAUGAAUGUUGAAGUCGAGAGCCGCAGUGGUAUCCUUCAAGUAAAGGAAUGAUUUGAUGGAAGAUCAUCAUAUUAAUCCUUACAAAAGUCAUGAUGAGUUUCUUGUCUCCAUUUUUAGGUAGCCCUAGUAGACCUUUCUUUGGUAGGAUAAAUGUGAUUUGGUAAUGAACUUGAUAUGGAACCCCUUUAUAUGAACCUUAAGUUUGAAUUACUCUAUGAGAAAAAAGUCUAGCACCGAGUGAGUAUGGUAAGGGAAGUAGUUCUAGUUAUGCAAUGAGAUUAUAUUACAAGGAACACACUUCAUAUUCCUUAACCAUGUGCCUACAUGGAAUGUGUCUAAGUUCUAUGAUUGGCAAUUAGAGCAUCCGUAUUAGAGUAGGUUAGAACUUAUGAUUCUAUGCUUUGCUCUCAUUGUAUAUGUAACGACCUGUUUAGUCGUUUUGAGCAGCAGAUUUUAUUUCUGGAAAAACAGGCUGAGGCGAUGGACCCCACGACGGACCGUCAUGGGCACGACGAACCGUCGCAGGGUCUCGUUUCAAAACACUUAGAAAAUCUGAAAUUGGGUACUGAAAAUCGACUCUCUGAACUUUGUAACGGAGUGGCAGGACGGACCGUCACAGGCCAUUCACCCAAAAUUAAGUCUCUGAACUCUGUGACGGGCAGCAGGACGGACCGUCGUAGGCGCGAAGGGCCGUCACAGACUGCGAAAUCCCAGUCUGGGUCGGAUUUCUUGAUAUGUUUUAAGAGACGUUUUUGACUAUUCUUGCCUUAAUUAUAAAGUUCGUGGGUUUAUAUUAAUAACUCAAACUCUUCGGGGUUAAAAGAGGUAACCCUAAGUUAAUUAGUGGGGUAUUAUGGCCAUCUUUUAUUCUUAAUUAUAUACUAAUUAGGGUAAAAGAAAGAGGGUUUGCAUAAGAAAAUAGAAAGAACAAGAAGGGAGAGAGAGAAACGAUUGGGAAGAAGAGGAAAACACCAAGCUUUGAGGAUUAACUUGCUUGAUUUCAAUUCUUCGGUGGAGGUAGAUUAUGGUUUUCAUGCUUUCAUAAGUAAACUCUUAAUAGUGAAUGAUAUGUAUUGGUAGUAUUGUAAACCCUACUAUAUGCUUAAUGGUAUGUUUGCAUGAAUAUGAUUAUGUGAUUGUGAUAAGAUAAGCAUGAUGAAAGUAUUGAAUCCCAAAUCUUGAAAGAAACUUUAAUAUACAUUAUUAAUGAUGAGGCCUUGGUAUAGAAGAAGGCUUGAUAAAUUAAAGUAAUGGGAUUGAUGAUGCCUUGGUAUAGAGAAGGCUUGAUGAUUUACAGAAUGUUAUUAGUGGAUCGGAGUGUCACGUUCCAACACAUAGUAUUAGUGGAUCGGAGUGUCACGUUCCGACACAUAGUAUUAGUGGAUCGUAGUGUCACGUACCGACACAUAUAGGGGAUCGGGUGUCACGAACCGACACGUAGAAUUAGGGGAUUAGAGUGUCACGUACCGACACAUAGCAGUAGGGGAUCGGAGUGUCACGUACCGACACAAGAUAAAGAAAGAUAAUGAAUCUUGAAAGAUAAUAAUAUACUCAAUUUAAUAAAACUUAAUUCCCAAAUGAGUAUGGUAUUGAGGCUUGAGCCCUCAUGGAUGAACUUGAUGGUACUUAUUGAUGAUUAUAGUACUUGUUGUUGCUACAUGUUGAGUUUUAUAGUUGAUUUAUGAUAUUACUUGAUAUAUACUGUUCUCUAUUUUGAGUUGACCGAUGAUAUCUACUCAGUACCCGUGGCUUGUACUGACCCCUACUUUUAUGUUUUCUUCUUGUUAUUUGUGGAGUGCCGCAAACGUUCCGUCAUCUUCAAGUCAGCAGUGAUUCUAGCCAGUCUUUGUCAUACCGGAUAUUCAGUGUGAGCUAAUGCUUCUAGCUUGGACUGGGUCUUCUUCUUCAAGUCUUGAUGCCUUGAACUUCCGGCACGGACUAGCUUUUACUUGUUUUUUCUUUCUUAGAUACUCUUAGUUUAGUAAUUUAAAGGUAGAUGUUCUUGUGAUGAUGACUUCCAGAUUCUGGGAAUAAUGAUAAGUUUUUGAGUUAUAGAAGUUGAUUAUUUAUUUUUACUUAUGAGUUUAAGUCUUCCGCAUUACUUUCUGUUUAUAUUAUAUUGAAAUGUUAAGGUUUAGAUUGGUUGGCUCGCUCACAUAGGAGGGUAAGUGUGGGUGCCAGUCGCAACCCGGUUUGGGUCGUGAUAAACUUGGUAUCAGAGCAUUAGGUUCGUUGGUCUCAUCACACAAGAACAGGUCUAGUAGAGUCUUAAGGAACGGUAGGGGGACGCCUUUACUUUUCCUUGAGAGGCUAUAAGACUUUAGGAAAAUUUCACUCUUUCAUUCUUUCUUUCGUGCUACUACUUGAGUCCAAUUGGUAUCUAGGCGAUACAAAUUGGUAUCUGACCAUCUUCACUCUCUUUUGCAGAUGGUUAGAACUAGAGCAACGACUACGCCAACACCAACACUGGCCAGACAAGAAACAACUGAGCCAGCCAUUGGGGCUGUUGCUCGAGGAAGAACAGCGGCAAGGGGCCGUGGUAGAGGUCAUGGGAGGACGUCCUCUAGGGAAGAGGACGAGCACCGAGCCCAUCUGAUACUAGGGCAGUGACUCCUCCACCGACUGAGGAAGUAAUAAGAGAAGGGGAGGAUGGAGAAACUGAACAAGUGCAGAAUGAGGGAUUGCCACCCCAACCUACCCCAGAGAUGAUCAAUCAGGUUUUGGCUUAUCUUAGCGGGUUAUCUGAUCAGGGCCAGACACCCCCCGUGUUUUCUGCACCAGCACCUCAGGCUCCGGAGGUACAAUAUGCGGCUACUAUGGCUCCCCGCAUGGAUGUUCCAUUGGAAAUAAGCACAUUUCCCCGUCUGACUACAGGGCCUGUAAUGACAAAUGAUCAGCAUGAACUUUUCAGUAAGUUCUUGAAAUUGAAACCUCCAGUCUUCAAGGGUGCUGAAUCGGAGGAUGCUUAUGAUUUUCUGGUUGACUGUCACGAGCUACUACACAAGAUGGGUAUAGUAGAACGGUUUGGUGUUGAGUUCGUGAGUUAUCAGUUUCAAGGGAACGCCAAAAUGUGGUGGCGAUCCCAUGUUGAGUGUCAACCGACAGAGGCACCACCUAUGACUUGGGCCUCAUUCUCUAGCUUGUUUAUGGAGAAGUAUAUCCCCCGGACUUUGAGGGAUAGGAAAAGGGAUGAGUUCCUGAGCCUAGAGCAAGGUAGGAUGUCGGUUAAUGCUUAUGAGGCUAAGUUCCGUGCACUAUCCAGAUAUGCCACUCAACUCUGUUUCAGUCCUCAAGAGCGGAUUCGCCGGUUUGUGAAGGGGUUGAGGUCAGAAUUGCAGAUUUCAACCUUACAGAUAGCGGCAACGGCAAAAUCCUUCCAAGAAGUGGUAGACUUUGUGAUAGAAGUGGAAGGAGUGAAGCCAGACGACUUCACCACAACAUCGACAUCAAAAAGGUUUUGGAAGGGAGGUGAGUUUAAUGGUUCUUACACUAGAGGACAGGGUUCGGGAAGUUACUCAGUCCGACCAAUUCAGUCUUCACUACAGACUGUAGUUGGGGGACCACCUCAGACCGGUCAACACUUUUCCGAGGGGCCUAUGCUUGACUCCAGAGAGUGUUAUGGAUGUGGGGAGAUUGGACAUAUUAGGAAAAAUUGUCCUAGACAAAGUUAUAGACCCCCAAUAGCUAGAGGUAGAGGUGGUCGUGGUAGAGGCCGUUAUUCUGGAGGACGUGGUGGUCGAGGUAAUAGUGGUCACCAAAAUGGCAGAGGUAAUGGGCAAACUGGGGCCACUACAUCACAACAUGAUAGGGGCAACGGACAGACGAACGAUAGGGCCCAUUGUUACGCUUUCCCUGGGCGGUCUGAAGCGGAGGCAUCUGAUGCUGUCAUCACAGGUAAUCUUUUGGUUUGUGAUUGCAUGGCUUCUGUAUUAUUUGAUCCCGAAUCCACAUUUUCUUAUGUAUCUUCCGCAUUUGCUAAUGGUCUUAAUUUACAUUGUGAAUUGCUUGACAUACCUAUUCGUGUUUCUACUCCGGUGGGUGAGUCUGUGAUAGUUGAAAAGGUGUAUAGAUCUUGUCUUGUAACUUUUGUGGGGAGCAAUACUUAUGUAGAUUUGUUUAUCUUAGAAAUGGAUGAUUUUGAUGUAAUUCUGGGUAUGACUUGGCUUUCUCCGCAAUUUGCAAUUUUGGAUUGUAAUGUUAAAACGGUGACGUUAGCCAAGCCUGGGACAGAUCCGUUAGUUUGGGAGGGUGACUACACUUCCAAUCCGGUUCGUAUCAUCUCCUUUCUUGGUGCUAAGAAAAUGAUUAGUAAAGGGUGUUUAUCUCUCUUGGCACAUCUCAAGGAUGACACUACCCAAGUACCUUCGAUUGAGUCGGUUUCAGUGGUCCGUGAGUUUCUGGAUGUGUUCCCUGCAGAUCUUCCUGGUAUGCCACCAGAUAGGGAUAUUGAUUUCUGUAUUGACCUUGAACCGGGUACUCGCCCCAUUUCGAUACCCCCUUAUUGAAUGGCUCCCGCGGAGUUAAGAGAGUUAAAAGCCCAACUUCAAGAGUUGUUAAACAAAGGCUUUAUUAGACCAAGUGCAUCUCCUUGGGGUGCUCCAGUUUUGUUUGUGAAGAAGAAGGAUGGGAGUUUUCGAAUGUGCAUAGACUACAGACAACUGAAUAAGGUAACCAUAAAGAACAAGUAUCCUCUUCCUCGCAUUGAUGACUUGUUCGAUCAGUUACAAGGUGCUUGUGUCUUCUCUAAGAUUGACUUGAGAUCCAGUUAUCAUCAGUUGAAAAUACGGGCAAUGGAUGUGCCAAAGACUGCUUUUCGAACGAGGUAUGGGCAUUACGAAUUUGUAGUGAUGUCUUUUGGCCUUACGAACGCCCCUGCUGCGUUCAUGAGCUUGAUGAACGGGAUUUUUAAGCCAUAUUUGGACCUCUUCGUGAUCGUAUUUAUUGAUGAUAUAUUGGUAUACUCAAAGAGCAAGAAGGAACAUGAAGAGCAUUUGAGAAUGGUAUUGGAAAUGUUGAGGGAGAAAAAGCUUUAUGCCAAGUUCUCUAAGUGUGAGUUUUGGCUAGAUGCAAUGUCCUUCUUGGGGCACGUGGUUUCUAAGGAUGGAGUAAUGGUGGAUCCUUCUAAGAUUGAGACAGUGAAGAAUUGGGUAAGACCUACUAAUGUGUCAGAAAUAAGGAGCUUUGUUGGGUUAGCUAGCUACUACCGCCGAUUCGUCAAGGGAUUCUCUUCUAUUUCUUCCCAACUGACGAACUUGACUAAGCAAAAUGUUCCAUUUGUAUGGUCGGACGAAUGUGAGGAAAGCUUUCGGAAGCUCAAGACUUUGUUGACUACCGCACCUAUCCUUACCUUGCCAGUAGAGGGUAAGAACUUCAUUGUUUAUUGUGAUGCAUCCUAUUCUGGUUUGGGUGCAUACUAAUGCAAGAGAAGAGUGUGAUUGCUUAUGCUUCAAGGCAAUUAAAGGUGCAUGAACGUAACUAUCCGACCCAUGAUUUGGAAUUUGCUGCGGUAGUGUUUGCAUUAAAGCAAUGGAGACACUAUUUAUAUGGGGUUAAGUGUGAGGUCUACACGGAUCAUCGUAGCCUUCAGUAUGUCUUUACUCAGAAAGAUUUGAACUUGAGGCAGAGGAGAUGGAUGGAACUACUGAAGGACUACGACAUCACUAUUUUGUAUCAUCCGGGGAAGGCGAAUAUUGUAGCGGAUGCUUUUAGUAGAAAGGCGGGAAGCAUGGCAAGUCUAGCUCACUGGCUAGAGAGGUUCAGACUCUAGCUAAUGACUUGAUGAGAUUAGAAGUAAAUGAGAAGGGAGGAUUGUUGGCUUCUGUGGAGGCAAGAUCUUUCUUUCUUGACAAGAUUAAGGGAAGACAGUUUGAUGAUGAGAAACUAAGGCGAAUCCAAGAUAAAGUAUUGCGAGGGGAGGCUAAGGAAGCACAAAUUGAUGAGGAAGGUGUUUUGAGGAUCAAGGGAAGGGUAUGCGUACCCCGCGUCGAUGAUUUGAUCAACACUAUUCUGAUAGAGGCUCAUAGUUCAAGGUAUUCUAUACAUCCGGGUGCAACCAAGAUGUAUCGUGACCUAAAGCAACACUUUUGGUGGAGUAGAAUGAAGCGUGAUAUUGUUGACUUUAUUGCCAAGUGUCCAAACUGUCAACAAGUAAAGUACGAACACCAAAGGCCCGGAGGAACACUUCAGAGAAUGCCCAUUCCGGAAUGGAAAUGGGAGAGAAUUGCAAUGGACUUUGUGGUUGGUCUUCCGAAGACAAUGGGUAAGUAUGACUCCAUUUGGGUGAUUGUUGAUAGGUUAACUAAAUCUGCUCAUUUCAUUCCGUUCAAGGUGACUUACAAUGCAGAAAAGUUAGCCAAACUUUACAUCUCGGAAGUGGUGCGAUUGCAUGGGGUUCCACUAUCCAUCAUAUCAGAUAGAGGUACGCAGUUUACUUCUAAGUUUUGGAAAACAUUGCAUGCGGAAUUGGGUACUAGGUUGAACCUUAGUACUGCGUUCCAUCCUCAGACCGAUGGUCAGUCUGAAAGGACGAUUCAAGUGUUGGAGGAUAUGCUUCGUGCGUGCGUGAUAGAGUUUGGUGGCCAUUGGGAUAGCUUCUUACCCUUAGCAGAGUUUUCAUACAAUAAUAGCUAUCACUCAAGUAUUGAUAUGGCUCCAUUUGAAGCAUUGUAUGGUAGGAGAUGUAGGUCUCCCAUUGGUUGGUUUGAUGCAUUUGAGGUUAGGCCUUGGGGUACUGACCUUUUGAGGGAUUCGAUAGAUUAAGUGAAGUCUAUUCAAGAAAAGCUUCUAGCGGCGCAAAGUAGACAAAAAGAAUAUGCAGAUCGAAAGGUUAGAGACUUAGAGUUCAUGGAGGGUGAACAAGUCUUGUUGAAAGUUUCACCAAUGAAAGGGGUGAUGCGGUUUGGUAAAAGGGGUAAACUAAGUCCAAGGUACAUUGGUCCCUUUGAAGUACUUAAGCGAGUAGGGGAGGUGGCUUAUGAGUUAGCCUUGCCUCCAGGGCUGUCCGGAGUACAUCCGGUAUUCCAUGUGUCGAUGUUGAAAAGAUACCAUGGGGAUGGAAACUACAUUAUCCGUUGGGAUUCAGUUUUGCUUGAUGAGAACUUGUCUUAUCAGGAGGAGCCUGUUGCUAUUCUAGAUAGAGAAGUUCGCAAGUUGAGGUCAAGAGAGAUUGCAUCCAUCAAGGUGCAAUGGAAGAAUCGACCGGUUGAAGAAGCCACUUGGGAGAAGGAGGCGGAUAUGCGAGAAAAAUACCCACAUCUGUUUAAAGAUUCAGGUACUCCUUCUCGCCCUUAUUUUUCUUCUUGUGAUCGUUCGGGGACGAACGAUGGGUAAAUUGGUAUCUAUUGUAAUGACCUGUUUAGUCGUUUUGAGCAGCAGAUUUUAUUUCUGGAAAAACAGGCUGAGGCGACGGACCCCACGACGGACCGUCGCAGGGUCUCGUUUCAAAACACUUAGAAAAUCUGAAAUUGGGUACUGAAAAUCGACUCUCUGAACUUUGUAACGGAGUGGCAGGACGGACCGUCACAGGUGUGACGGACCGUCACAGGCCAUUCACCCAAAAUCAAGUCUCUGAACUCUGUGACGGGCAGCAGGACGGACCGUCGCAGGCGCGACGGGCCGUCACAGACUGCGAAAUCCCAGUCUGGGUUGGAUUUCUUGAUACAUUUUAAGGGACGUUUUUGACUAUUCUUGCCUUAAUUAUAAAGUUCGUGGGUUUAUAUUAAUAAGUCAAACUCUUCGGGGUUAAAAGAGGUAACCCUAAGUUAAUUAGUGGGGUAUUAUUGCCAUCUUUUAUUCUUAAUUAUAUACUAAUUAGGGUAAAAGAAAGAGGGUUUGAAUAAGAAAAUAGAAAGAACAAGAAGGGAGAGAGAGAAACGAUCGAGAAGAAGAGGAAAACACCAAGCUUUGAGGAUUAACUUGCUUGAUUUCAAUUCUUCGGUGGAGGUAGGUUAUGGUUUUCAUGCUUUCAUAAGUAAACUCUUAAUAGUGAAUGAUAUGUAUUGGUAGUAUUGUAAACCCUACUAUAUGCUUAAUGGUAUGUUUGCAUGAAUAUGAUUAUGUGAUUGUGAUAAGAUAAGCAUGAUGAAAGUAUUGAAUCCCAAAUCUUGAAAGAAACUUUAAUAUACAUUAUUAAUGAUGAGGCCUUGGUAUAGAAGAAGGCUUGAUGAAUUAAAGUAAUGGGAUUGAUGAUGCCUUGGUAUAGAGAAGGCUUGAUGAUUUACAGAAUGAUAUUAGUGGAUCGGAGUGUCACGUUCCGACACAUAGUAUUAGUGGAUCGGAGUGUCACGUUCCGACACAUAGUAUUAGUGGAUUGGAGUGUCACGUUCCGACAUAUAGUAUUAGUGGAUCGGAGUGUCACGUUCCGACACAUAGAAUUAGGGGAUCGGAGUGUCACGUACCGACACAUAUAGGGGAUCGGAGUGUCACGUACCGACAUAUAUAGGGGAUCGGAGUGUCACGUACCGACACAUAUAGGGGAUCGGGUGUCACGAACUGACACGUAGAAUUAGGGGAUCGGAGUGUCACGUACCGACACAUAGCAGUAGGGGAUCGGAGUAUCACGUACCGACACAAGAGGAAGAAAGAUAAUGAAUCUUGAAAGAUGAUAAUAUACUCAAUUUAAUAAAACUUAAUUCCCAAAUGAGUAUGGUAUUGAGUCUUGAGCCCUCAUGGAUGAACUUGAUGGUACUUAUUGAUGAUUAUAGUACUUGUUGUUGCUACAUGUUGAGUUUUAUAGUUGAUUUAUGAUAUUACUUGAUAUAUACUGUUCUCUAUUUUGAGUUGACAGAUGAUAUCUACUCAGUACCCGUGGUUUGUACUGACCCCUACUUUUAUGUUUUCUUCUUGUUAUUUGUGGAGUGCAGCAAACGUUCCGUCAUCUUCAAGUCAGCAGUGAUUCUAGCCAGUCUUCGUCAUACCGGAUAUUCAGGGUGAGCUAAUGCUUCUAGCUUGGACUGGAUCUUCUUCUUCAAGUCUUGAUGCCUUGAACUUCCGGCACGGACUAGCUUUUACUUGUUUUUGCUUUCUUAGAUACUCUUAGUUUAGUAAUUUAAAGGUAGAUGUUCUUGUGAUGAUGACUUCCAGAUUCUGGGGAUAAUGAUAAGUUUUUGAGUUAUAGAAGUUGAUUAUUUAUUUUUACUUAUGAGUUUAAGUCUUCCGCAUUACUUUCUGUUUAUAUUAUAUUGAAAUGUUAAGGUUUAGAUUGGUUGGUUUGCUCACAUAGGAGGGUAAGUGUGGGUGCCAGUCGCAACCCGGUUUGGGUCGUGACAGUAUAUGUCGGUUAUUGCCUAUUAUCACCAUAUGGAAUACCUAUUAUCAAUAGAUAAGUUCUAUGAAGUUUAGAUGGUGGUAUGGGACGCUAUCUAAACAUUGCACAAUAGGCUAUGAAGGUGUUAGUUGGAGUUCCUAGGUCUUGUCAAAGACUAUUACUUGAAUGUCCAAUAUGUGUUGAAUGUCUCCUAAAUGAACUAAUGAAUAUAAUGACUUAAGUUAAGAAAGUAUGUUAAAUAAAUAAGUACUUAUGUAGGGUAGUUAAGGGUUGUCUAGUUAAGGUGUGAAGGGGGCAUAGAAAUUGUCACUUUGUAUCUUGCCUACAUAAGUCUUAAGGAUUGCUGUAGUUAGGGCAAAUGGUUGAAUAUGUAGACAUGAUCUAAACUUUGGUUGUCUUAAGGAUUAUUUAGGUAGUCUUGAAAAGGUCAAUCAUGGACGUUAUCUUCUUUAUUUACUUUAGUAAGUCAUUUGAUAGCCUUUGGUAAGAGAAUGUCAUAUUAUCUUUAUGUUAAUGUGUUAAAUGAGAAUGAUUAUAUCGUAGGUACUCUAUAGGAUCUCUUAAGUGUGUGUGUAAGGGAUUAUAUGAGCGGUCUCUUCACAAUUCACUCAAGUGAGACUUAGAAUAACCUUUGGUAGAGGAAAUCUCAUGUUCAUAUGUUUGAUGUCUUGUAAGUGUGUAUGUGUCUCAGUUGGAGUAGUCUUCAAGGUCAUUUAGGCAUUCUUAGGGAGGUUGUAUGGGAGGUCUCUCUAAGUAUUGUUAAAGUGAGUCAUACGAUAGAUUUUAGUUAGAAAACUACAAGAUAGGAAGUAUUAAAAGGGAAAAAGAGACACUUCACUGCAAUAGUGAAGCAACUCACUGUACAAUGAGUUUAUGCUACUGUAAGGUUGCCUUGAAAAUGUGUUAAAUCGCUUGAAUUUAAUCUGAUAUGUUUUUUAAGUUUUUAAAUGUUGUUGUUAGGAUUAUGAUAUGAUUUUUAAAUAAAAAGAUGCAUAUUUCCAAAAAUAUCCAUUUUCAUGAUUUUCAUGUAUUAUUUCAUAAUUAGUACAUGUGGUUUUACUAAUUCAUGUUUUUAUCUAUAUAUAUAGUUAUUGGUAGGCUAGGAGAAUUUGGGAAGCAAUACUUGGAUAGUAGCAUCAUUCUAAUGAAGUUGAAGUAUGUCCUCAUUUGGUUCGAGGGCAUAGAUGUCUUUUAUGUUGAAUUUUCAAAUUAUUGUAAUAGACUAAGUAAUUCUAUAUUUUUAAUUAUGGGUCGUGUCCCAAAAGUAUUAUUUUGUCUUAAGUUUGAUGAGAUUGAGACUUGGUAUUCAUAUGAUUUUUGAUGAAAGAUCUGAUUUGUGAUAUUUCUAGUGUUUUGUUAAAAGUUUUAAUCCUGCACUAGUUUUCAUUAUGGAUAUGAGAUGAAUGACAUGGAAUGGUCUUGUUCAAGACCUCUUAGAGGUCAAGUACACCGGUCGCAAUCCGAUACUGAUCAUAACUUUUAGGGUGUGGUUUCGUGAUGUGACACAAUAAAUGCCUUGACACAAUGUAUAGCAACUGUUGCAAUGUUAGUAAAUGGCCUACAAUUCAUGUAUAAUGACAUAUCCUUGACAUGUUUUAAAAUAAUCUUAAAGAUAACCGAUAUUUUUCUAGAUCACAAACAUGUCGCCAAAAUUAGUAGCUUCAAUAAGCAUGUUCUCAAAGUUCAUGUCAUUCUUCAACUCACACACGCAAAAGUAAUUUACAUAUAUGCCACAAUACUAACUAUUGAUAUUUGUAGGAAUACUGUCAAACUUCUCCUGUUGGUUAUAACCAGAGCUGAAUACUAAUAACUGUCUUAUCAAAGCAGCAUAGUAUAAAUCAAUUCUAGAAUAACACAAUACGAUGCACAUACAGAAAACUAUAAAGAGUAAAAUUUACAGAUCAUUCAUUUCUUUUAGAUGCAAAAAUUGUAAAGUAAUUUACCAAAACUCGAAUAACAAGAAUGUUAUGUAGUUAUUGGUGCCUAUUCAUGAUUUUGAGGUAACAUUAAUGAAAAUUAUAAUACUUAGUGUCAGGUAACAUUAAUGAAAAUUAUAAUACUUAGUGUCAGAGUUCUAGCUCAUUAUUCUCUUGUUGUUAUUUGAUUUAGUAGUUGGAAGUAAUCAUGACCGACAAUGGAGUGAAUAUGGUUGAUGUAGCAAUAAGAAAAAGUUCAUGUUCGAGUGAAAAGCCUCAAACAACACGUGAAAUACACUAAAACAACAACAACAAAUUCUCACUAAAACAGGACUAGAGUUGCACCAAAAAUAACUGCACUAGAGUCAAAGUAAAACAUCACUACAAUCACACUAAAAAACACUACCGUUACACAAAAAAAACUUAAAACAACAAUCAAAUUACAUAAAAACAGGAGCAGUAGUUUCUCUCUAAAACAAAUUAUAAUUUCAUAAAAAUCAAUUGCACUAUAGUCACACAAAAACUACACUAGAAAUGCAUCAAAACAACACUUAAAUUGCAUCGAAAAUUCUGAAAACAUAAUUAGAAUUAUACCGAACAGCAGUCAUAGAUACACUUUAAAACAUGACUAAAAUUGCACUAGAAAUUACAGUAGGAUAGAACCAAAACACAUCAAAGUUUUCGAAUAACCUGGACAUUUCGAGAACUCUCACCAAUAAAUGAUUUUCCAUCAUGUCCAUGUAUAUGAACAUGAAUACAUAAAUAAUUGUGUGUUGGAUCUCGACCUUUUUCUAUAUUCUAUACAAAAGAAAUCACUUUAUAUUUUAGAAUGUUUUAGCAUGUAUAAAUUCAAGAGGGUAGUAGGAGGGAUAUCAUAAAUGAAAUGUAAUAUAAGUAUUUGAUAUUAUAUCUAUAUGUGCUAUCAGAAAGAAUACUUAUAUUACUAAUUUACAAAUUUAUCAAUUCUUAUCUAUAUGAGUUUAAUUAAAAAACAAUAUAUUGUUAACUACAAAACUCAUGAAUUAAUAUCAACAUCACAACAUCUGUUAUACUUAUUUUUUCUAGAUUCAAAGAGAGAAAGUGUCAGCGACACAACAAGUAGCAGGAUACCUUGACAUUGGAUUCAUUGAGAACAUCUUAUACACAAUAAACAGACUAAUUAUGCACAUAACUUUAGGUCAAAAAAGAAAGAUACGAGUUUAUAGUUAAAAUAGGGAUAAAAACUAAUGAAAAUAAUAUAAAAAGUAAGAAAGAAAUAUAUUUAACAGAUAAAGACUUUUCAGAUAAUCAAACAAACAAAAUAGGUAAUUUUAAACAAAACAUAAAUCCUCAAGGUGAAAUUAGACAGAUUUGGACAAUUGAGUAUGCAGUAAAAUAGAAAAAUUAACAUAUUUUUUAGCAUAACGGGAAAGCUAGCAGCAGUCGAUUAUUUCUGAAUAACAAGGGAAAUUUAAUGUAAUUUAACAGCGUAAAAGGCCACCACAACUUAAACCUUGCUUCACUAGAUUACUCAUAUUUCAAAAGUAGCACAUUUAAACCAAAUAAUCAAAUUUAAAUUGUAGCACAUUCAACAAACAAUAGGUCAUCUUCUGUAGAUGAAAUAUUUUGCUUAAACGACCAGAAGUUUGUACUGUGAUGGUAAAAUCCUAUCCAGAUAUCUUCCAUUUUUUCAGUGAACUUAUUGAAGCGUUCUAGUUACACUCAACUUACUGAUACUAUGUAAUUACUAUAUUAAUCUCACAAAAUUGAUGGCAAACAAAAGGGAUUGAAACAUUAUAAUUAAUUUAUAGUACAAACAACACAUUCCAGUGUGUGAAAAACUAGAUCAAGAAAACAACUUUUAGACAAUACUACUUUUCAUCAACCAAGAACUAAUAAGAGUAAUACCCACAAAACAACACAAUAAGGAUUCUUCAAAUUUUUCACUAAUCUCGUAAAAAAAGCUCUAACUCGAAUAGUGUUAGCAUAAUGACAAGAAUCUUCAUCAUAGUUAGAUUGAGUAAAUGAGAUACUUCAAAAUAUAUAUCAGGAGCUAAAUCUGAGAUAGAAAUGAAGAGUGAGGCUUACUUCAAGCGAAUAUCAAGCAAGCCUUAAUGGUGAGGUUAGAACAGCAGGAUCCUGUAACAUUUUAACAUUUCAUUACCUCGGUCAUUAGAAAAAAUAUUAAAAAAUAACAACAUAAAAAAACUAAACAAUUGAUAUGAAUGAGUCGUUGUCCAAAUGCAUUCAAUUUAUAGGUAAUCUGAUUAUAAGACUCAUUAUCUAGUUGUCUUGAUAGUGAUUUUAGCUUUUUAAUUUUAUAUAGAUGGCCCUAUAUGAUAGGAGGAAAUUAAAACUUCAUCUAAAGAAGAGUGCAUUUUUAUUGAACAUCUUAGUCAAAAUACAAAAUUCAAACAGAACUAGUUUUUAGCACUAGAUAAUACUUCAUUCUUUUAGUUUUUUUCUAACUAACGUAUGAUAUGAAGUUGUGUAAAAAAUAUAGAAAAAAUGAACCAUGGAAACUUCUGUAUUAUGCAUACAGGAUGAAUUUGACUAUCAAAUCUAAGUAUGAUCCUUGUUAUUUCUCUCAAUAUAACUUUAAUCUGCAACACAAUUGUAAAUCAUCAGAACUAUACAUCUAUACAACUUUAACAAGAAAAUAAUGUCUUGUUAAGUAUAUUAAUUCAUUGAAUUUGUCAAGUUGUAGACUUUAACAACAUAAGUCAUAUAGAGGACAUACAUUUGUUUAAGAUGUGCUUGAGUUAACAAUUUGGAUAAAAAAGUCAUUCAAGUCAAAACGAUCAUUUAUUGUUAAAUAUACUCUUGAUUCUAAAUGUACUACUCUCCAUGAAAGUUAAGAAUAAGUCAAUGUACAAUAGGCAAUGAAUCGGAUUUUCGUUUAUUUUCAAAAAAAAACAUACAAUGGAAGAUAACUUCAGCAAGCAUCAACAUGACAUAAUUACUCAAUCUCUUCAAUUAGAUAAAUACUCGAAAGUUCAAACGAUUAAAGGCAACUCAGAACAGGUAUGUCAUACUAAACCUAUUUUCACUUCUUUGUGUUGCUCAGUAUGUAAAUAUUUACUGAUUAUUUUCAUUUUAGGGAAAACAUAAAUAAUAUAAUUUCCUUCUAUCUAUUAACCUCAUGACAAUUUAGGGGAACCCCAAUUUCUAGAAAAAAACUCUAUUUUAAGAAUAUAUAAAUUUUUAAAAUCCCUAUUUUGAGAAAAUUCCAAUUCUAGUUCAAGCAUAAAAGCUAAAUGAAAUAGAAAGAGUGCAGAGCUAAAAUAUUAUACGCCUAAACAACUAAAAUCUCUAUUUAUUUUAGAAGAUGAGUUGAACUGAAAAAUAAUUAUUUUUUCAAAUGAAGUCAUUUAUCCACAAAUUCAACAAAUCUAAGUACAUCCAAACACAGAAACGAGUUGGAAUUCAUAUUUUGCAGAAAGUAAAGUUAAAACUACCCAUUUUGAAAAUAUCAUAGCCCUAUUCAGAUUGAGAGCUAAACGAAAUUCAAAUUAAGAUUGGAGAUUGAGUUUACAUUGGAGACUUUGAAAGCUAGAAGCGCAGACUUGGAAAGGAGUGGAAGAACUUCAAUGGAGCGUGCAGCGAGACUUGGAAAUCCUCAAUGAAGAUGGAUCUUGAGAGAGGUUUUUUAUAGUGGGUGCUUGAAAAUGUGUAAAAAC